AGCAAAGUUCGGUGGGCGUGGUGUCGAGCACACUAGUUAGUGUGCGUCAGUCGCGCAGACUGAGCUGCUUUGAUAAAGCGACGAUCGAUAAGAGUGGUUGAAUGAACGCGUACACAAUAGAACUGGACAAUCACACAUAAUGCAAGCGAAAAUAAAUUUUAAACAUGGCUCCAUCACGUAGCACACUGAACUGUGACGUCACGAGUGAUUGCUUUUGAGAGAUUGGUUGGACUUUGUACCGGCACCCGCGCACUUGCACGCUGUGCUAGCGUUGUGCUGGCUAUCGUGACUUCUCUCGUGACACGAACACGAAUUAAUACGAUGCCUUUUAGUAAGAAAACACCGAGUUUUAAGAAAUACAAGGAUUAGAAAUAAAGUUUAAUUAUGAACUUAACUAAAUUAGACAAAUUAAACAGUUUAUUUACACAUAUAUUAUUACAUUUUAAGAGAAGGUUGAAAUUUAUUAAAAACUGUAGAUGUCGCUCAGCAA